rnacentral:lncRNA from 1 species
CAUGGGACAGCACCAGGUCCACACAGCACAGCAGAGUCAAGACCAUAGGCUUCCCUUCUAGGCAUGCAGUACCAUCUGGGCAUCAAGCUAAGGAGGUAAACCCGCAGCCAGGACACUGGGUGUCUCUAAUGCUCUGGGUUCCUGGCUGUCACUGGGGAUUUUUCACAAGCACACUUCUCGAUUCUUGAAAAAUAAUGGGGACCAGCUGACAUGUACAUAGCACCUAUUCCUUGUCAAUCACUACCGUAAGGAUGUUACACACUGUAGCUCAUUUAUGUCCCACGACUUGUGCUUUUUGUUAUUUUAAAGGAGCAGAGAGCAUCGUCUCACAAAAGUGUUGUGGUCUGAGUCCUCCUCACACUUGCAACUUCUUUCUUCAGACAGUGAGGGGAAAGGGCUGCAGACUUCUCAAAGUUGGAAGCAGGCUUUGCAUAGCAGGGUCCUUGCCCAAGCCCUCUGGCUGUUCUGGGAAUGACCAGCUAGAGAAGACAACACUUCUGUAGUCAGAGGUUUCUGACCUCCUGGAGUUUGCUCCCUGUUUUCUCUGAGCAUAAGUUCAUCUCCUGAGUGUCUCCAAAUUCAAACUCUGUUCUGUCCUCAGAGUCUCCCCUGUGGUCUGGAGGAAACAUUUCCUCUCUCUUCUACCUCCCAGAUCUCUCUAUCCCUUCCUAUCUUCCUGUCCUUUCAGGGUUGUGUCUACUGUGUGUCUCUUCAGCCUUUAGGGAAGUAUAAAGGAAUACAGGUGUACUCCCAAAAUCAAGUCAGUACAAAACACUAAACACUGUGAGGAAGGUUCUAUCUCGGGUGCUGUAGGCUCACCAUUGAGGCUGGGGCCCUCACUUCUGAUAGGAGAGGGUAUCCUAGAGAAAUUACAGCAGAAAUCACAGUCUCUCCUAGAGAAAUCACAGCAGAAAUCACAGUCUCUCUAGCGAAAUCACAGCAGAAAACACAGUCUCUCCUAGAGAAAUCACAGCAGAAAUCACAGUCUCUAUUAGAGAAAUCACAGCAGAAAUCAGUCUCUAUUAGAGAAAUCAGCAGAAAUCACGGUCUCUCCUAGAGAAAUCACAGCAGAAAUCACAGUCUCUCUAGUGAAAUCCCAGCAGAAAUCACAGUCUCUCUAGAGAAAUCCCAGCAGAAAUCCCAGUCUCUCCUAGAGAAAUCCCAGCAGAAAUCACAGUCUCUCCUAGAGAAAUCACAGCCACCCCUUCCACUCUUCUCAGCCCCCAGAACCACAUGCAGACACAUCACGGGGAAAGCCAGUCCCUGCGGGAGCACCGCAUAGGUGGCAGGUGUGGAGAAGGAUGUGGUGAUGAGUUCGGGUCUCUCUCUUAGAGAGGGACUUGAGAAACCUGGAGUCUCCUGCUGUGCUGUGCAGAAGGGACAGGCUGGGGAUGGUGGCUCCAGGAAAGCCAAGGCCUGAAUUCUUCCCUGUGGAAGGGUCUGAGGAGUGAUUGACGCUGCAGGGAAGUGGGGAGUGUAGGGAGUGAAAGGUUCAGGCUUCGACGCUGAUGGGCUCUCCCUCCUUAAGAGACAGACCCCGCCCCCGAGACAGUGGGGGCAUGCACAGGAAAACUUGCUAAGUCAUCGCCAUGUCACGAGCCAUGCAUUGCAGCCUGCUGAGGACUCUGAGCAUGCGUGGAACAUCAGUGCACAUGCACAGUCUUCCCUUUAAAAGCUCCAACUUUCCUGCUUCACUCUCUCUCUGCUUCCUCUCUUUACUCUCUCCUCUCUCUCCUCUGCUCUCUCUCACCUAUGCGUUCUCUCUGCCUCUCUCUGGCGAUCAGCCAUGGUGGUCAGCCAUUACCCCUGUUCCUCUUCUCUCUUAGUCUCCCUACUCUGCCGGGCCAUAUAAUUAACUAGUCAACAUGUCCCAUCUUAAAGCUUUCUCUUUUCCUCUCUUUAAAUAAAAACAUAACAGGGAGUCCAAACCUGAAGCAACAAAGCCAAAGCAAGAAAAGCACCUAGGGAAGAAAAUACAUCAAUGGCUUGAAUAACAGACAUCUAACUUGGAAAAGAUGUGUCCAAGUGCCGGGGCCUCUGCUGGAAUCUCUGUGCUGUGAAAGUGAAGGAACCAGCUUCCCUUUCGGCAGCCAUAACGGUCCAACAUGUG